rnacentral:tRNA from 1 species
AAGAUUUUAGUUUAUUGUAAAAUGUUAAAUUGUAAAUUUAAAGAAGUUAAUCUUG